rnacentral:rRNA from 1 species
UACGUAGGGUGCGAGCGUUGUCCGGAAUUAUUGGGCGUAAAGAGCUCGUAGGCGGUCUGUCGCGUCGAAUGUGAAAACCCGGGGCUCAACUCCGGGCUUGCAUUCGAUACGGGCAGGCUAGAGUUCGGUAGGGGAGUCUGGAAUUCCUGGUGUAGCGGUGAAAUGCGCAGAUAUCAGGAGGAACACCAGUGGCGAAGGCGGUUCUCUGGGCCUUACCUGACGCUGAGGAGCGAAAGCGUGGGGAGCGAACAGG